AAUUUAUUAUUUUAAUUAUAUAAUAUAUUUUAUUUAAAUUGUAAUAGUUAAGCCAAUAUUUGAUUGACAUGUGGCGAUCCUGUCAGAGAAACGAUUCUCUUAGAGCAUCUCCAUCGGUUACAAUUUUGAGAGUUUCUCUUGACUAAUAUAAUAUAAACAAUUCAUAAAGGAGGAGAGAGAAUAACAUAAUUACAGAAACGUUUCUGUGCAGAGAAAUUUUGAAGUAAUCAUUGAGAAACUGUGUGUAUAGGUGGCUGUUUAUAAUUGGACAACUGAAAAAAAGAAAAAAAUAUAUUAAUUACAAAAUUAAGUCAUAAUAAAAUAUUAGUAAUUUUUUUUUUUGAGAAACUUUGAAGGUUUCUCACUAAUGGAAAUGGCCUUAGUUUCUUAAGCGAUGUACUUUUCUUCCUCUCUCUCCUACUUUUUCACUUUUUUGUUUUUAUUUUAUUAUUAAGUUUCUCAUUCAGAAACGCUGAUGGAGAUUGCCUAAUGGUAGAGACUCUCAAAGUCUCUCAACUGUAUUACUUUAAUACAUAUAAUUUAAUUAUUUUUUUUACUAUUCAAAAAAAACCAUCCAUAACCAAUCAUAUUAUGACAUAUGUUUAUAGUCGGUUCUCAAGAGAGCCGAUUCUUAUCCCACUCUCCUAAUUUUUAAUACUUUUGUUAUAACCAAUAAGUUUAGCGCGUCUUCUCCAUCCGGAAGGCAAAGAUUCCGAAUCAGGAACACAUAGAAACAGAGAGAAAGAAGUAGUAUACCUAUCACGUCUCUUGGGAUAAGCGACUAGACGCCUGCAAGCAAAAACCAUAUGUGUCACUUGCAGCGACCAACCAUAAAGCACUUGCAAACAAGUUAUGUUCUUUACCACUUGCAACGACCGGCCUUGAAUGUAUCAGAGUAAACUCUAGUGGUAUCCAAAGAGUUGAAAUUCUUAAUCACCCAAGCGAACUUCUUAUCAGCUUGAUGAUUCCCCAUUGCUCUUGAUGAUAAUGGAUACUAACUAAAUACACAA
rnacentral:sRNA from 1 species